CCGACCUUUCCCUCUCUGCCCGACGCGAAUUCCCGAUUUCCUCUCCCUCUUGUUCUCUCUGUUCUCUCUCGCGGGUGACUCGACGCCGAGCCAGGAGGGGCACGUCACCGGUGCUCGACGGAGACCAGCAGGCUCCAGGUUGUCUUCGGCUGAGGAGUCUCUGCUCCGACGGAUUUUGUUGCUGAGCGUUGAUAGUACGGCGGCUAGGGCAUCGGUGGGAGGCUUGAUCUGUGUCAUCCCUAGCCUAUCGACUCUUCGUUCCUUCUCCACGAGUCGCUCACAGAGCAGUCCGUGUCUCCCUUCUCGUCUGAUUUGGAUCAAGCGACGCCACCGAGGAGUGAUCUUGAAGGAGGGAAGUGUCGGAUCUAUGUCUUGAUGUGUCCCCUGUUCAGAUCUUGGUCCUCUUCUUGCGGCUGAUAGGGUGGAUUCCGAUAGGGAGGUGUUGUUUGGUGGCUUUCUAGGUUUCGGCAGCAACUAUCCCGGUUGAGGUUGUUGUUCUGUGAAGGUGAUUUUGGUUUCCAGCAGAGCUUGCUGUGGUUUCUUUGAUCCAGCAAGGAAACUAUCUCUCACUGUGUCGUCGGCAGAGGCUUUAGAUCAGUGAGGUUGAGGUCGUCGGGAGAUAUUCCAGUCGCUAGCCCCCCCUUGUCGCGAGGAUUCUUUAUUGUUGGUUUCUGUUAUGAUUUCUAUGCAUAUACUGGUGAUGUGAGUUUUGUAUUGUGGACUUUAUGUUGAACCUUUGGGUUUGCUACUUUUGUUUUCCGUUGUGGAUAUUUUCAUUACUUCGUGGAUUUCAUUUUCUUCGUUGUAGUGGAGUAGGAUGUUAUACAUA